rnacentral:rRNA from 1 species
CCCUUAGAUGUUCUGGGCCGCACGCGCGCUACACUGAUGCAUUCAACGAGUUUUUCCUGGUCCGAGAGGAAUGGGUAACCUUUUGAAAGUGCAUCGUGCUAGGGAUAGACUAUUGCAAUUAUUAAUCUUCAACGAGGAAUGCCUAGUAAGCGCAAGUCAUCAGCUUGCGUUGAUUACGUCCCUGCCCUUUGUACACACCGCCCGUCGCUCCUACCGAUUGAAUGGUCCGGUGAAGCGUUCGGACCGUGGCCUUUGGACGGUUCGCCGUCUGUUGGCUGCGGGAAGUUCGUUAAACCUUAUCAUUUAGAGGAAGGAGAAGUCGUAACA